UAACCAAGCAGCACUGAGAUUACGGAAGCCGAAGCUUGGUAGCUGCGCAAGCCCCGUAGCGAAUGGAAUCGCGUAUAUGAAGGAUGUAAUGGAUUCCAAACCCAUAUGAAUAGGCUUGGUUGCUGAUAUGUCAUCUCCACAUAGCAUUUUUUCGGAAAGUCUUUCUGGGACGCCAAGCCCAGAACAAGUGCAGGAUAGCCCACCCCAAUCAGCCACUACAAGUCAUAGACCGUCCCAAACCAUGCAGCCAAGAAAAAGGUCAAGGAAAAAUGCUGCACCCUCAAAACCUUCCAAAAAGACUCUUUCCUAGGACUGUAUCCACCUUUUCCAGCCCACCGGAGCACCUGAAAGCUGAACUAAUAUACGCAGGAUAAGUCAUCAACUGCCGAGCCGAGAAGUUCGUGACGAAUCGAAUUUACUUGGAGUUGGUACAAAAGCAUUGGCGUUCCUUACGCGACAGCUAUUUCAAGCAUCUUCGGGACACCAACCUUCCUAGUGGCUCUGGGGCUAAGAAUUCAGCAUACAAACAUGCAGAUUGUCAUUUCUGCACAAAAUUCAAGAAUUGAGAACAACUACUUCAAAUACUGGUGUACAACAAGCAACAACCAAUGUUGAAGAAGUGCAGAUUGAAAGGCAACAGGGGGAAGAGAGUGCUUCACAGCCCGAAGCAAAUGUCACAAGUGGGCUGCGUAUUAAAGGGGUACUCCGGU